GCCAGAGCUAUAUCUCCCUGCAGUUCUCAUCUAGUUUCCCAUUGAAGCUAAGCAGCAUUGAGCCUGGCCUGUACCUGGAUGGGAGACCUCCUUGGGGAAAACUAAGGUUGCUGCUGGAA
rnacentral:rRNA from 1 species